GACGUAGGGCGCGAGCGUUGUCCGGAUUUAUUGGGCGUAAAGAGCUCGUAGGCGGCUCGUUGCGUCAACCGUGAAAACCCGGGGCUUAACUUCGGGCUUGCGGUUGAUACGGGCGGGCUAGAGUCCGGAAGAGGCGAGUGGAAUUCCUGGUGUAGCGGUGGAAUGCGCAGAUAUCAGGAGGAACACCAAUAGCGAAGGCAGCUCGCUGGGACGGUACUGACGCUAAGGCGCGAAAGCUAGGGGAGCAAACGGG
rnacentral:rRNA from 1 species